AUGCUUGACCUCAAAUCAGGUAGGACUACCCGCUGAACUUAAGCAUAUCAAUAAGCGGAGGAAAAGAAACUAACAAGGAUUCCCCUAGUAACUGCGAGUGAAGCGGGAAAAGCUCAAAUUUAAAAUCUGGCGGUCUCUGGCCGUCCGAGUUGUAAUCUAGAGAAGUAAUGCCCGUGCUGGACCGUGUAUAAGUCUCCUGGGAUGGGGCGUCAUAGAGGGUGAGAAUCCCGUCUUUGACACGGACUACCAGUGCAUUGUGGUAUGCUCUCAAAGAGUCGAGUUGUUUGGGAAUGCAGCUCAAAAUGGGUGGUAAAUUCCAUCUAAAGCUAAAUAUUGGCGAGAGACCGAUAGCGAACAAGUACCGUGAGGGAAAGAUGAAAAGAACUUUGGAAAGAGAGUUAAACAGUACGUGAAAUUGCUGAAAGGGAAACGCUUGAAGUCAGUCGCGUUGGCCGGGGAUCAGCCUUGCUUUUGCAUGGUGUACUUUCUGGUUGACGGGUCAGCAUCAAUUUUGACCGCUGGAAAAAGACCUGGGGAAUGUGGCAGCUUCGGCUGUGUUAUAGCCCCUAGUCGCAUACAGUGGUUGGGAUUGAGGAACUCAGCACGCCGCAAGGCCGGGUUUCGACCACGUUCGUGCUUAGGAUG
rnacentral:rRNA from 1 species